UGGGAUGCUGCUGGGCCUUCGGCUGUUGGGCUGCUGCUGGUUUUUCUUUGGCAGGCCUGCUCUUGCUUCUUCUUGGGCUGUUUUUUUCUUUCUUUUGGGCUGUUUUUUUUGUGUUGCUUUUUUCUUUUUCUUUUUUUUUUACUUAUUUUUUGGGCUGUUGGGUUUGGGUUGCGGGUCGCGGGUCGGUCGGGUCGGGUCGGUUUGACCCGACUGUAAAAAAAUUUAUUUUCUUAUUUUCUUAUUUUUUUCUUUUUCUUUUUUCUUUUUUCUUUUUCUUCUUCCUUCUUUCUCUUUUUUCUUCUUUUUUUCUUUCUUCUUCUUUCUUUCUUUCUUCCCCGUUCAGCCCCCACCGACUUCUCUGCUGUUGCCGGCGCUUCCUCCGCCUGCGGUGCGACGGCCGACGACGCUCCUCCCUUUUUCUUUUUUCUUCUUUGCUCUUUUUCUUUCUCUUUUUUUUUUCUUUUGCUUAAGAUUUUUUUUUUUGCUUCUUUGCUUCUUGGUUUGUUUUGCUAGGUGUUGGGACGGCGGUGACGGUGAUGUCGUGGUGGUGGGCACGGUGGCGCGCGGUGGAGCUGCCGUUUUUUGUGUUUUUUCGCUCAAAAAUUUGUUUUUUUCUUUUUUUUUCUUGUUUCUCUUUUUUUGGCUUCCUCCAAAUUUUGGGGGUUUAAAACCCCUUUUAUUGUUGAUUUUUUUGCUCCUUUUGCAGGUGGUAGGUGGCUAGGGGAGAAUGAGGCCAUGCCUUAGGUCGGCCGCUGCAGUGUAGGUGCGCAACUUGCGCUGAUUGCUGCCAGAGGGACCAAAAUGUAAUGGCAGCAAAACUUUUGGGGUUGAAACGUUAUUUUGAGAAAGUUUAGGGGUUAAAAUGUAAUUUUGAGAAAGUUUGGG
rnacentral:lncRNA from 1 species